rnacentral:rRNA from 1 species
UGGGGAAUAUUGCACAAUGGGCGGAAGCCUGAUGCAGCGACGCCGCGUGAGGGAUGACGGCCUUCGGGUUGUAAACCUCUUUCGACUCCGACGAAGCGAGAGUGACGGUAGGAGUAUAAGAAGCACCGGCCAACUACGUGCCUGCAGCCGCGGUAAUACGUAGGGUGCGAGCGUUGUCCGGAAUUACUGGGCGUAAAGAGCUUGUAGGCGGCUUGUCGCGUCGAUCGUGAAAACUCGGGGCUCAACCCCGAGCUUGCGGUCGAUACGGGCAGGCUUGAGUACUUCAGGGGAGACUGGAAUUCCUGGUGUAGCGGUGAAAUGCGCAGAUAUCAGGAGGAACACCGGUGGCGAAAGGCGGGUCUCUGGGAAGUAACUGACGCUGAGAAGCGAAAAGCGUGGGUAGCGAACAGGAUUAGAUACCCUGGUAGUCCACGCCGUAAAACGGUGGGUACUAGGUGUGGGUUUCCUUCCACGGGAUCCGUGCCGUAGCUAACGCAUUAAGUACCCCGCCUGGGGAGUA